AUGAAACUCUUGUCUGUAGGUGUCACGGUCAGAGAGGUUCUGUGCCCUCCCCAGCCCUGGCACUGCUGGUGUUCACCCGUGCCAUCUUACAGAUCUCUUUUCUCCCCAAACUUGCUUCUCUGCCCGACCGCAUGUCCCUGGUGCCGGUGGCCCUGCACGGGGAGGUGUCACGGAGGGGUGAGGUGCUGCAGGGCACCACUCAGUUCUCUCCUUCCUCUCUCAGCCUUCUCCCCGGUUCUCCCGGGCUGUGUCCCCUUCAGCGUGGGGGUCACAGAGCCCCCACAAAGCUUCCUUCAUCAGGCAGGGGCUCAGGAGAGGCCACUUUUCCCCCGUGUGCAUUUUCUGGCUUCUCCUUCCCCACCUGAGCUGUGUCACGGUCAGAGCAGCCCGGGGGUCCCAGGCACAGAGCUGCCAGGGGACACUUCUCGUGUGGCAGGGCCAGGGCUGGGGUGCCAUCCUCAUGUCCCAAACCCAAGGGACCUCCUCUUGCCUCCCCUGCCUCCCCGCACACAUCCCCCCCGUGAGCCACCAGGUGCUGGGGAGUGUCUGGAAUCCAGUUUAUUAACAGUAAAAAAUUGCAGAUUUUUGUUCUUUCUCCCUCUUCACCUGCUUUCGCCCCAAAGCAAAACAGCUGCAGCUUCCCAGAGACUUCCCGGUCUCCUCCGACGGCGUCGAGGGCUCACAACCCCACAGCUGCUCUGGGGAGCAAAAUUCCAGUUAACCCCUGGUUUGGCAGUGGCUCCCCUGCCUGUGACCCACCAGUCAGACCAGUCACAGCCUGGCUUGAGUCCAGCUCUUUGCCAACAUCUCCUCGGGCUCUCUGCUCACGCUGGUCUCCUGCGGAGGGGUGUUGGUGGGAGGGGCAGGACCUGGGACCUCUGUAUCCCAGUCUGCGUCCCUCCUGUCUGCACUGAGCUCCAGCCUGGGCAGGUGGUUUGCAGGAAUCAGGGCACCUCAAGGUCCCGUGUCUGGCUGGUGGGAGCAGGUCCCUGCCAGCCUCACGCCGUGGGGUCAACGUGCUGCCCCGUCCCUGUGCGCCAUCACUCAGGGUCAGGGGUCUGGCUGCUUCCGGUUGGGGUUUUUGCCCUCUCCAGCAGAGAAAUGCAGAAUUGUGAUGUGAGCCCUCCCAGCUGUGACUGCAGUGAAGAGCUUCUUCCUCAGGGAUGA
rnacentral:lncRNA from 1 species